ACGUACUGUGCGAACGUUAUUCGGAAUCACUGGGCUUAAAGGGUGCGUAGGCGGCUUAUCAAGUCAGAUGUGAAAUGCCUGAGCUCAACUGAGGCACUGCGUUUGAAACUGAUAGGCUUGAGUAUUCCAGGGGUAUGCGGAACUGCCAGUGGAGCGGUGAAAUGCGUUGAUAUUGGCAGGAACACCGGUGGCGAAGGCGGCAUACUGGGGGAUAACUGACGCUGAGGCACGAAAGCCAGGGUAGCGAACGGG
rnacentral:rRNA from 1 species